rnacentral:lncRNA from 1 species
UGUGCUGUGCCACCACAUCUUAAGUUCUUGAACUGUGUGUUUUCCUAAUGGCUUUCUGUUGGUCUGGACAUUCUCAAGGAGGAUGUAUCUUUCUUUUUGUGUAUCUUUCCUCUGUGUUGCAGCUUCUUUACUAAGGGCUACAGUUUUAGCAGACUGUUGACUAGUAGAAGCUGUGUCUUAAUAAUUGAUAGACUUACUCUUUAUGCCUGGCUUCUCAUCUCAAAGUCUCUGAGAAUGCCAGCGAUUAAGGGAAAGAAUGUCUUCUAUUUGUCUCCCCCAUGGUCCUCUUGGGCAGUGACUCCUGAGCCUUGAUUUUAUAGUCAAGUCUCAGUGUCAUUUUUAACUUGAAGUCGGAUUUUUUUUUGAGUUAUAUUCAUUGUUUCCCUUUGAGAUUAUAGUAUCCUCCCAAGAACCAAACAAUCUUUUCACCAAAAUUUUGUGAGGCUACAUGGAUGCACAGUCUAAAUCUAUAACGGAAACAGGAGUGAUGUUGUCCCAUUUUCCAUGUCAGGAAUCCCUGCCCAUGUCAGCACAUAUUCCUGAUUUUGACGAUGAGAUCAUUUCUCUCAGUGUGGGGUCAGAGGUUAAGUGCAGAAGCCCUUUCAUUAUUAGCAUUUUAAUUUUUCCAGAGUGGGAAGUUUUCUCAGUCUCUCUUUUUACAUGUCUAAAGUCUUACCUUGAAGUUCAUCAGAUGCCCUGAAAAAUUUAUACAUUUAUUGACACGUGUCACAUUAGCAGAUGAACUCCAGAUUUUCUCUGGGGCAGUUUGGUCAACUUUUCAUCUAUUUUUACAGCAUUGCCAUCUGGUGGCCAGAGGUAGUAUCUGCAGGAAGUAUGGUAAUGACAGAACGGAAACACACAUGCCUAUUUAUUUAUUCAUUUUAGUUAGAUAAUUUUCUUUUACAUAGUCUCUCAGACCUAGAGUUUGCUGUGCAGAGCAGCCUUCCUCUGCCUUUUGUGCUGGUAUUAAAGGCACGCAGAACCACAGCCCGCCAGGUCACCGCAUGCCUGGAGUUUUGAGGACUUUUUCACUUAGGCAAACUGAGUCAGACUUUUCAGAAACUGUAACAGAAGAUCAUGUCAGCAUCUCAGGGGAAGGAGAGGCCCAUGUAUACUCAGAGCCUGGUUUCUGUAGUUACACUUUGCUUGAGCUGCAAAACAAGUAGAACCACAGUUUAAAGUGCUAUAUGCAAAUUGCACAUGGGCUUUUAGAGAG